UGGGGAAUUUUGCGCAAUGGGGGAAACCCUGACGCAGCAACGCCGCGUGGAGGAUGAAGUAUCUUGGUACGUAAACUCCUUUCGAUGGGGAAGAUAAUGACGGUACCCAUAGAAGAAGCCCCGGCUAACUUCGUGCCAGCAGCCGCGGUAAUACGAGGGGGGCAAGCGUUGUUCGGAUUUAUUGGGCGUAAAGGGUGCGUAGGCGGUUUGGCAAGUCUUGUGUGAAAUCUUCGGGCUCAACCCGAAGCCUGCACGAGAAACUACCGGGCUUGAGUAUUGGAGAGGUGAGUGGAAUUUCCGGUGUAGCGGUGAAAUGCGUAGAUAUCGGAAGGAACACCUGUGGCGAAAGCGGCUCACUGGACAAUAACUGACGCUGAUGCACGAAAGCUAGGGGAGCAAACA
rnacentral:rRNA from 1 species